CUUUCUUUUUACCAUCAGUGUUUAAGUUGAUACUGCAUAUGUCUCAGAUGGAAGUAAACAAGCAAGCAUCACACUCAAAUUUAGCAAAAGCAUUUAAAAGGUGCGGUUUAAAGUCGUACAAAUACAAAAGAUUUGUGGCGAUUACUAAACCCAAACGAAGGCUUUUACACACCCAUACAGGACUUUUUAUUGGAUUCCCAUGCUCGUGUUUUUAAAAUAUGUGUCUAACUUGUUGGAUUGGUCAGGAUUGGGGGAAACUAGUAUCAAAUUAAGCAGGAAACAUCGUUCCUGAAAAAAUUCCUAGAGAAAUAGCAGAGACAAACAAAUCAAAUGUCUGACUGACAAGAUUUAAACAGAUACACUUCUUUAGCUUCUUCCACUUCUGUAAAAUGUUAAUGUUACUCAUUGGAUUUUGCUAUAGUUGCAGUAUAAACCUAAAUACAAAUGCUUGCUUCUUAAGAAAAGGUUUACUCUGGCUUUCUAUUGACUGCACUGAACACAGAAAUGUGAGAAAUACUUCAAAGUCAUUGCAGUCAGGGUGAAUUCAACCACGCCAGCGUGUCAGACAACACUUUGUCCAGUCAACCAGGUUUCUUGAUUUCUCCUAAAGCGUUGGCCUACACUUCUCUUCGAGCCUGACUUCAUCUGAGUGUAGAGGACGUUUGACCACCAGGUCCAGCUUAUGCCUUACUGGCUGACCGGCACAGGCGUACAGAGAAGACUGCGGCAGCCUCCGCCACCUUGGUCAGCUGGGU